GGAAGUGACAUAGCAAGCACACUCAGAAUAUAAUCAGGGACAAGAAGGAAAUUGUCCUCUUGCUCUUCCUCUUCCUGUUGCUCUCUUCUCUACUGAGCUGCCAUGUGAUCCCAGGAGGAGGAUGCCAGCAGAAAGCAUCCUUAAUAAGAUAAGUCUUAUAAGAUAUAUAGAUUAAUGAUAAUUAAGACUGAGCUAGCAUAUAAAAAAUCCUAGUCAAUUGGCCAGCAUCACUGUAAACUAAUAUGAGACUCUGUGUGUUAUUCUGGGUGGUGGUGGGGCUUGGGCGUAUGGAGUAAAGACUUAUCAUUACACUCCAGUGUCUACUCUUAUUGCAGGAUGUUGUCGAGUUACUUGUUAUGAAAUCUCAGAAAAAAAGCCUGGACAUCCACUCCAACCCAUUUCUAUGUGACACAAUUUUGCCUAAGAGGACUUAAGGGCAUGGGAGUGUCAUGCAGCAACUCGUGAGAGCUUUUGUCAAUCCUGUCUUCUCUGAAUGAUGCUUGGCGAAGCUUGUCUUUAGCUAUAAGACAGAGCUAAUGGGGAAGGAAGCUGAGUGACCAACUCCCUCGAGAGACUUUUAUGCAAAAGAGGCUCCAUAUCAGCUUACAAAACCAUGCCCCAUGUGUAUUGAAGACAAAAGAAAGACUUUGGGAAUGGGAAUUCAGCAAUGAAUUGUAGGAUACUUGUUGUCAAGACCUGGGUUUCUGUUAAGAACAGCCACUCUUUCUGGAGGGAGAGCCUUGGAGGAUUCCUACGUGAAACACGAACAAGAUGAACUUUGGCUGUAGGACGGAGGCUUCUGUAAAGAAUGGAGUGGAAUGGCAGAAGAGCCUAUUUGAGUGACAGCUGG
rnacentral:lncRNA from 1 species